AUGAAAACAUCCAUAUUUGUUCUCAUAUAUGUUGAUGAUAUUAUAGUCACAAGUUCAUCUGAUGAAGCAAUAUUCGGGCUGCUGAAGGAUUUGAGUGCUGAAUUUGCUCUCAAGGACUUGGGAGACUUGCAUUUCUUCCUAGGGAUUGAGGUAAAGAAACAAGGUGAUAGCCUCCAUCUCUCUCAAGAAAAGUAUGCUUCUGACCUGGUGAGAAGAGUUGGGUUGCAAGGUUGCAAACCUUCACCAACUCCGUUAUCUAGCACAGAAAAAUUGUCACUUGCAGAAGGAGAACUUUUGAGUCCUGAUGAUAGCACCAGGUACAGAAGCUUGGUAGGAGCACUUCAGUACCUGACCUUGACACGACCUGAUAUUUCCUUUGCUGUGAACAAAGUCUGUCAGUUUCUUCAUGCACCUACUAAAAAUCAUUGA
rnacentral:rRNA from 1 species